CUAUCAAAGGUCUUAUAAUGACCAUUUUUUUAUUGGUGGACAACUGGUAUAAGCUAACAGAAAAUUAAAACAGAAAAGAUCUUCCAAGAUCCUCAUAAACAGACAAACAUUCAUAAAUAACCCUAGAUAAAAUCUUUUAGCCAUGAGGGCUUGGACGUCUUUCUAAUGGGCCUUUGAGGUGUGAGUCCACUAUCAAUUGUUGUCCCCUGCAGAGCAACCUUGUCCUCAAGGUUGUUGGAUGUGGAUUUGGGAAGGGCAUUUGGAAGAGGUUGUGGGUCUAUGAUGGGUUCCUUGAGUGUAGAUUGGGGAGGUGUUAUUAUCAAUGGGCUAGGAUUGGGUAAGAAACUUUGGUUGGGUCGUGAGUGAGGUAUGUGGAGAUGUUGAGACUGAAUUUGAUUUAGUGGAGAGAUUUGAAUGGGCUGUUGAAUGUUAUUGGACCGAGUAAGGUGGUGGAGGGGCAAAUGCUUCCUACACCCAAUCAUUUUUGACAUGCACCCAACAUAUUUUUUUAAUUUCUAAAAAUGCCCUUAAUUCCAGAAAUAAAAAUCCAGAAUUGAAAAUAAUAUAUUCCGGAAAAAUAAAUUUGGAAGUGAUUAUUGAGUUUCAGAAAUAAAAAUCCGGAAAUAAAAAUUAAAAUUCUAUUUCGGACAAAAAAAUCCGGAAUUGAAAAAUAAUACAUUCUGGAAAAGAAAUUAUUGUGUUUCGGAAAUGAAAAUCCGGAAACAAAAAUGAAAAACCCAUUCCAGAUAAAAAAAUCCGUAAUAUAAAAUUUCGUUCAGGAAAAAAAAAUCUGGAAUACAUAUUUUGGAAUUUUUUUUAAGGACAGUUUCGUCUUUUCCGCUAGAAUCGGGUACAGUGAUAUGGUGCAGGAAGCAAUUGCCUAGUGGAGGAAGGGCGUGUGGUUGGUGAGACCGGGGUUGUUUCUAGUGUGGGAUGGGUUGGGGUGUUUGAGUGGGUUAGGGUUGAAUUAGGGUGAAUUUGAAAGGUUGGGGAGGGUAAGUGACCGCCAACAUUAAUGACACACGGGUGGGUAUUAAGGAGAGUGUUUGCUGAUGUGUUUAUGGUGUUAAUGGCACGUGGGUGGGUUAGGUGACAAGUGAAGGGUCGUUCAAUGGUGGCCCUUGAUGGUGGACACGUGUCAUUGGUAGCGGAAAUCUCGCUGAUGUUAGGUGAGAAUGUUGCGUGCGGAGGAAGUAAAGAAUUUUAAUGGUUUAAGUUAUCUUUUGAGUGUUCUGGGUUGAGUUAUGAGCCAUAAAGAGUGUUGGGAUGUGGAGGAAAAAUGAGAGUGUUGUCGUCGGGGUGGUGAAGGGUGGGGUUUUUGUGGCCGUGGUAAGGUUUAAGUAAAGCAAUGUGAAGCAACCACUCCUAUGCAUUUGAUGAUGCGAUAUGGACCAUAAUAUUUUCGAAUGAGUUUGUGGUGAGGCUUGGAAGAGAGGGAAAAUUGUUGGUAUGCUUUUCGUCGUAGUGGCACCCAAUUGUUAAUGUUGAAGACGUAGUCGUGAUUUGUUUGCAAUUUGGGCCAUGCGAUGUUGAGUGUGAGCGAGGGUGGUCUUCAAAUGGUGCAUUAUCUAUGUGCACUCUUGUAAGGUAGUGGCGAGAGCUGGUUCUGUUGUCGUGCUCGAAAUGUAGUCUGAUAUGGAAGGUGGAGGUCGCCCAUAAAGCGCUUGGAAAGGUGUAGUAUUGAUUGCGGUAUGGUAGGACGAGUUAUACCAAAACUCAACAAGGUGUAAGUACUUGUACCAUGUCCUCGGAUGGUCACUUGCGAAGGUAAAUUUCUAAUCCUCUAUUUAUGACUUCCGUUUGACCAUCUGUUUGAGGAUGAUAGGCGGUGCUAAAUUUGAGUUUGGUGCCUUGUAGGUGAAAAUGUUGCUUCCAAAAAAUUACUGAGUAAGAGUGAGUCUCUAUCGAAGAUGAUGGAUUUGGGAAUGUCGUGCAACCUACAAAUCUCAACAGAAAACGGUUAGCCAAUUGGGAUACGGUGAAGGAGGUGGGUAAUGCUAUGAGGUGGACAGAUUUGGACAAAAGAUCACAUAUGACCCAUAUCACCGUGUGGCUAAAUGUGUUAUGAAAUCUGUGGUGAGCUCAUCCCAAAUUUGGGUUGGUGAGGGAUUGGGUUGUAAAAGACCUAAGGGUUUGUUGUUGACUUGUUUAUUUUUUUUGGCAAGGGAGACAUUGUUUGAUGAACGAUUUGACAUCUCUAUACAUCCCUGGCCAAUAUAAGGACGCGGCUAGGCGAGCCACAAUGGCUUUAAGGCCCGAGUGUCCAACAGAGGGGGUGGCAUGGAACUAGUGAAGUAUGGUGGUGUGCAGAGAUUAUAUGGAUGUUAGAUAUAGUCUUCGGUCGAGAUACAAAAGAUCGUUUUGAAAGGUAUAUUCUUUGUUUUGAGAAGCUGUAACUUUGUGUACUUCUUGUUUCCCCAAUUUUGACUGGUAAUAUUUUUUUAAUUGCAAGAGGAUUUCUAGGAUUGGGGAGGAGAUGGCCAAAAAAAUAGAAGUGGGUGACCGAGAGAGGAAAUAAACUGCUUGAUUGUGGCGGUCUGGGCGGUACAAAAUAUAAAAAAUGUAACCAAUGAGUUUGGUGGCCAUUUUUGUUGCUCUAGAGUAGAACAUGCCUUGGUAAGUAACCCCUUAAGACUUCUGUGAGAAUUUGGAAAUGAUUGUCAAUUAGGUAGUGUCUCCAUUUUUUUAUUGCCUUAGUGAUUGCGAGCAUUUCUUUGACAUGCACUAAAUUAUAAUGUAUUUUGGAACAUAGCUUCUUGCUGAAGAAAGCAAUGGGAUGACCAGCUUGGGAGAGAACUGUGCCAAUGACAGAAUUGGAGGCAUCUUUUUCAACCACAAACGAAAGAGAAAAAUCUAGAAGAUGUAGAACAAAGAGUGUAGUUAGGAAUUUCUUAAAUUGUAAAAAGGUCUUUUGUGCCUCUUCAUUCCAUGUAAAAACUUUGAAUUUUAGUAAAUCCGUGAAUGGAGGGGCAAGAAUGGCAUAACCGUGUAUAAAUUUGUGAUAAAACUCGGUAAUUCCCAAAAAAACGCGGAGAGUGGUGAGAGAGGUAGGUUUGGGCCAAAGAAGUAUGGCCUGAAUCUUGUCUGGGUCAGGAGCAACAGUCCCUGCUUGAAUGAUAUGGCCCAAAUAGAAAACCCUAGACGUUGCAAACAUGCACUUAGAUUCUUUGACAAAAAAUUGUUGUCUUGAAGUAAUUAGAGAGUAAUGGUAAGGUGUUGGAUAUGCUCUGACAUGGAUUUACUGUAGAUAAGGAUGUCAUAAAUAAACUAGCACAAAUUGUCUUAGAUGCGGUCUUAGGAGGUCGUUCAUGGCCGCUUGAAA
rnacentral:lncRNA from 1 species